rnacentral:rRNA from 1 species
CCUACGGGUGGCAGCAGUGAGGAAUAUUGGUCAAUGGGCGCUAGCCUGAACCAGCCAAGUAGCGUGAAGGAUGACUGCCCUAUGGGUUGUAAACUUCUUUUAUAUGGGAAUAAAGUGCAGUAUGUAUACUGCUUUGCAUGUACCUUAUGAAUAAGGAUCGGCUAAUUCCGUGCCAGCAGCCGCGGUAAUACGGAAGGUCCGGGCGUUAUCCGGAUUUAUUGGGUUUAAAGGGAGCGUAGGCCGGCUGUUAAGUCAGCUGUGAAAGUUCGCGGCUCAACCGUGGAAUUGCAGUUGAAACUGGAGUCCUUGAGUACACACAGGGAUGCCGGAAUUCGUGGUGUAGCGGUGAAAUGCUUAGAUAUCAUGAAGAACUCCGAUCGCGAAGGCAGGUGUCCGGGGUGCAACUGACGCUGAGGCUCGAAAGUGCGGGUAUCAAACAGGAUUAGAUACCCCAGUAGUC